rnacentral:rRNA from 1 species
AAUGAGCGCUGGCGGCGUGCCUAACACAUGCAAGUCGAACGAGAAAGUCCUUCGGGGCGAGUAAAGUGGCGCACGGGUGAGUAACGCGUAGGCAACCUACCCUCGGGACCGGGAUAACAGUGCGAAAGUGCUGCUAAUACCGGAUACGAUCCUUUGGCGGGAGCUGGAGGGUGAAAGUCGGCCUCUCGAAGAAGCCGAUGUUCGAGGAUGGGCCUGCGUCCUAUCAGCUGGUUGGCGGGGUAACGGCCCACCAAGGCGACGACGGGUAGCUGGUCUGAGAGGACGAUCAGCCACGCUGGGACUGAGACACGGCCCAGACUCCUACGGGAGGCAGCAGUGGGGAAUCUUGCGCAAUGGGCGAAAGCCUGACGCAGCGACGCCGCGUGAGGGAAGAAGGCCUUCGGGUUGUAAACCUCUUUCAGCAGGGACGAAGCCACUCGGGUGAACAGCCCAGAGGGUGACGGUACCUGUAGAAGAAGCCCCGGCUAACUACGUGCCAGCAGCCGCCGUAAAAC